CACUAGCUACAACCGCUAAGAAAAGGUAACUAACAAUCGUAUGAUGACCUUCAUUGCGAGUCUAAGUGAAAUC
rfam:Coprobacillus sp. CAG:826 genomic scaffold, scf1